UAGGGAAUCUUCGGCAAUGGACGAAAGUCUGACCGAGCAACGCCGCGUGGGUGAAGAAGGUUUUCGGAUCGUAAAACUCUGUUGGUAGAGAAGAACGUUGGUGAGAGUGGAAAGCUCAUCAAGUGACGGUAACUACCCAGAAAGGGACGGCUAACUACGUACCAG
rnacentral:rRNA from 1 species